AACCUCCGCAAUGUGAGAAAUCGCGACGGGGGGAUCCCAAGUGCCAUUCUUAACGGGAUGGCUUUUCAUUAGUGUAAAGAGCUUUUGGAAUAAGAGCUGGGCAAGACCGGUGCCAGCCGCCGCGGUAACACCGGCAGCUCUAGUGGUAACAAUUUUUAUUGGGCCUAAAGCGUCCGUAGCCGGUUUAAUAAGUCUCUGGUGAAAUCCUGCAGCUUAACUGUGGGAAUUGCUGGAGAUACUAUUAGACUUGAGACCGGGAGAGGUUAGAGGUACUCCCAGGGUAGAGGUGAAAUUCUGUAAUCCUGGGAGGACCGCCUGUUGCGAAGGCGUCUAACUGGAACGGUUCUGACGGUGAGGGACGAAAGUUAGGGGCGCGAACCGGAUUAGAUACCCGGGUAGUCCUAGCCGUAAACGAUGCGGACUUGGUGUUGGGGUGGCUUUGAGCUGUUUCGGUGCCGUAGGGAAGCUGUUAAGUCCGCCGCCUGGGAAGUACGGUCGCAAGACUGAAACUUAAAGGAAUU
rnacentral:rRNA from 1 species